GUAGGAAUACCCGCUGAACUUAAGCAUAUCAAUAAGCGGAGGAAAAGAAACCAACAGGGAUUGCCCCAGUAACGGCGAGUGAAGCGGCAACAGCUCAAAUUUGAAAUCUGGCGCAAGCCCGAGUUGUAAUUUGUAGAGGAUGCUUCAGGGCAGCGGCCGGUCUAAGUUCCUUGGAACAGGACGUCGUAGAGGGUGAGAAUCCCGUAUGCGACCGGUUGGCACCCGUCACGUAGCUCCUUCGACGAGUCGAGUUGUUUGGGAAUGCAGCUCUAAAUGGGAGGUAAAUUUCUUCUAAAGCUAAAUACCGGCCAGAGACCGAUAGCGCACAAGUAGAGUGAUCGAAAGAUGAAAAGCACUUUGGAAAGAGAGUUAAAAAGCACGUGAAAUUGUUGAAAGGGAAGCGCAUGCCACCAGACUUGUCGGCGGUGUUCCGCCGGUCUUCUGACCGGUCCACUCGCCGCUGGCAGGCCAGCAUCAUCUGGGCGCGCCGGACAAAGGCGUGGGGAAUGUAGCUCCUCGGAGUGUUAUAGCCCCGCGCACAAUACGGUGCCGCCCGGGUGAGGUCCGCGCUUCGGCUAGGAUGCUGGCGUAAUGGUGGCCUGCGGCCCGUCUUGAAACACGGACCAAGGAGUCUAACAUCUAUGCGAGUGUUUGGGUGUCAAACCCCGGCGCGGAAUGAAAGUGAACGGAGGUGGGAAGCGCAAGCUGCACCAUCGACCGAUCCUGAUGUCUUCGGAUGGAUUUGAGUAAGAGCAUAGCUGUUGGGACCCGAAAGAUGGUGAACUAUGCCUGAAUAGGGUGAAGCCAGAGGAAACUCUGGUGGAGGCUCGCAGCGGUUCUGACGUGCAAAUCGAUCGUCAAAUUUGGGUAUAGGGGCGAAAGACUAAUCGAACCAU
rnacentral:rRNA from 1 species